rnacentral:rRNA from 1 species
CCUACGGGAGGCAGCAGUGGGGGAUAUUGGUCAAUGGGGGAAACCCUGAACCAGCAACGCCGCGUGAGGGAAGACGGCCUUCGGGUUGUAAACCUAAGUGAUCAGGGAUGAAACAAAUGACAGUACCUGAAAAGCAAGCUCCGGCUAACUACGUGCCAGCAGCCGCGGUAAUACGUAGGGAGCAAGCGUUGUCCGGAUUUACUGGGUGUAAAGGGUGCGUAGGCGGGAACACAAGUCAGGCGUGAAAUACCGGGGCUCAACUCCGGGGCUGCGGCUUAAAACGGGUUUCCUGGAGGAAGUAGAGGCCGGGCGGAAUUCCAGGUGUGGCGGUGAAUGCGUAGAUAUUAGGAGGAACACCAGUGGCGAAGGCGGCCUGCUGGGCUUUAACUGACGCUGAUGCACGAAAGCAUGGGGAGCAAACAGGAUUAGAUACCCUGGUAGUC